GAGUUUGAUCAUGGCUCGGAUUGAACGCUGGCGGCAUGCCUUACACAUGCAAGUCGAACGGCAGCAUGAUCUAGCUUGCUAGAUUGAUGGCGAGUGGCGAACGGGUGAGUAAGUACAUCGGAACGUGCCCUGUAGUGGGGGAUAACUAGUCGAAAGAUUAGCUAAUACCGCAUACGACCUGAGGGUGAAAGUGGGGGACCGCAAGGCCUCAUGCUAUAGGAGCGGCCGAUGUCUGAUUAGCUAGUUGGUGGGUAAAGGCCACCAAGGCGACGAUCAGUAGCUGGUCUGAGAGGACGAUCAGCCACACUGGGACUGAGACACGGCCCAGACUCCUACGGGAGGCAGCAGU
rnacentral:rRNA from 1 species